CCGGAGUGAACGCACCACUGGUGUUCGGGUUGUCAUGCCAAUGGCACUGCCCGGUAGCUAAGUGCGGAAAAGAUAAGUGCUGAAAGCAUCUAAGCACGAAACUUGCCUCGAGAUGAGUCUUCCCUGGGCCUUUAAGGCCCCUGAAGGAACGUUUAAGACUAAGACGUUGAUAGGCUGGGUGUGUAAGUGCAGCGAUGCAUUGAGCUAACCAGUACUAAUGAACCGUGAGGCUUAACCUUACAACACCGAAGGUGUUU
rnacentral:rRNA from 1 species